rnacentral:lncRNA from 10 species
UCCACACCAGCUUUCACAGCCCCGUCCCCUAGGAGACCCGGGGACAGACGGAAGAAGGAGCCUCCUCGGGUUUCAGGGCUGGACGGAGGAGACAGGGGGUGACGGGGUUGGGGAAAGAGAAAUGGAAAAGCGAGGGGGCGCGAGUGAUCAGCUGGGUAAGUUGUGCAAAAGUGUUCACCGAAGUACGAGGAGGAGGAGGAGGAGGAGGAGGAGGAGGCAGUGAGCGCGAUCUGAUAGCCUCUCCACCUCCUAGAAGAGAGGCCCAGGCCUGGAUUUUCCCACACUGCUGCUGAUGUCUGCAUGGGCACGGAGAGUCCUGCUGCUGCCCAGGAACUCAUCCUGAAGUUUUUAAGAUUCUAGACACAUUUCUUUCUUUAUUUUUAGUUGAUGAGGAAAAGUUGGAAGAUAAAUGUAUAAUCCUAGACCUGCAGAAUUGUCAGAGGCCAUUAUGCUGAGCGUCACGAGGGGGGCUCUGGAGUCAGGCAGGACUCCAGGCACCAACUGCCACUACCUACCAAACGACAAGGCUGACUCUGCCUCCUCUGAGGCCACCACACUCGCUGCUCCUCCUGCUCCCUCACCUGCACUGUGAAGAUAGUAAUAGGACCCAGCUCACAGUGUUGUUGGAGGAUUCAAUGAGGUGAGGAAAAAUGAGGCCCACAGAGGCGCGACAGGCAAACACCCAGCGGGGCAGGUGCUGGGACCCCUCUGCCAGCCCAGAGCUUGCUGCAGGACCCAUUCCAGAAAGAGGAGGAAUUCCCAGCUGAGGCCAAAGUUCAUUCCAUCAGAGGUGUUGCAGUGUGGUGGGGAGGAGUCUUGCGGUGAGAAACAGGUAGAUGCUGCUGCAGUGGAAACCGAGGAAGUGCGAGAAUGUGCGUCCUCCACAUGUCUGUCCUCGAAGCCUGUCCUGCUCCAACAAGGGGACCCCAAGAACAGCAUUUAGUGGCGGCCUAGCACCUGAAGUCCUCGGAUCCACCACCAGGUUUGCUGUGUGACCUUGGGGAAACGUCUUCCCCAGUCUGGGCUGUGGUUGGGAAGAAUCCUUCUCCCUUGUUAUUGAGGACCAGUGAGGCCAUCAGUCUUCUCUGCCAGAGAAAGACGCUGGGGACAUGCUCCCCUCAGCACCCAGGAUUGGGAAAACUGCAAGAGGCAGAGGGAGUGGUGCCAGCCCACCUGCCUGUGUAGGAAUCUUGGCUCCUUCUGUCCAGCUCUGUCUCCCCUGGCCCUUCUCUGUGGCUUCUGGUCUUCACUGCCCUGGUUGUACACGCCGCCCCCACCCCUCUCUCCCUGUCUUUUGUCUCUCUGUUUUUUUUUUUUUUUUUUUUUUACUCUCCCUUCCCUCUCCUUCUCUCCCUCCCUCUUCCCUCUCCCUGGCCACCUCCUUCUCCCCCUUCCCCUCCCCUUCUCUCUUUCCCUUUCACUGUUUAUCCCGGAUCCUCUUUUCCUGCAGGGACACUCUGGAAAGCCCUGGCUCCAAACCAGUGUGAUUCUAAUCUUCCCAGCAGACUGUCUAAAAUGUAAUUUACGAGCAAGGCUCUCCCGGCUUCUCCAUCCUGCAGCCUGGGCAGGACUCCCAGCCAGUGAAUGGGCUGGGGAGCGGGAGUGGGGCUGGGGCCAGCCUCGCUGGGUCAUCUCCCAUUCUGCUCUAUCUGCCCAUCAGCUGGGGGAACGGGCCCAAACCCGGGGAAGCUUUUCACUUGGAACCGACUUCAGUUCCGGGUUCAUGGAAGGCAGUUGGCCCCGAUGCAGCAACAGAUUGCCGUUUGCUGUGGACUCUGCAAAACCUUGCGGCAGGAGAGACCUCUUGGAGGCCAUGACAUUAGGCCAGGACAUUUGCGCAUUCAUUAACUCAUGUUACUGUACACUUUCUAUGCAUCACACAGUCCUGGGAGCUGAGGUUGUAGUGCCGAGCACAGAGACCAGUUCCUGUUCUUUUGAAGCUAGCAGUUUGGUGGAAGGGACCGACAUUAAUCCCAUAGUUACUUAAGAGAAUGCUGGCGGGGCACGGUGGCUCAUGUCUGUAAUCCCAGCAUUUUGGGAGGCCUAGGCAGGAGGAUCUCUUGAGGCCAGGAGUUUGAGACCAGCCUGGGCAACCUAUUGCGACCCUCAUCUCUAAGAAAAUUAAAAUUAACCAGGCAUGGUGGCAAAUGCCUGUAGUCCCAGCUACUAGGGAGGCUGAAGUGGGAGGAUCGAUUUAGCCCAGGAGGUCAAGGCUACAGUGAGCUAUGUUUGUGCUCAGCCUGGGCGACACAGUAAGACUCUGUCUCAAAACAACAACAUAAAACCAAAGAAUGUUAAACAGAUUUCCUUUAGUUCUGUGCUGAAGGAGAGGAAUAGGAUGCUUUAUAAUAUGGGGGUUGACUAGGUCUGUUGGGGGAGGCACAAAGGAAGCCACCCCCACUUUUUUGCAUGAUAAUGAAUAAUGACACCAUUAGUGGCGUGUUUAUACAGAGAGGCGGUGACAAAUAUAAUUCCUCCUUUGCUGCCACUUUUGACUUUAUGUGUGUUGAAUUUAGAUACCCCUCCAUCAACUGAUGUGAGCGGCUCCUGGAGGGUCCUUAAAGGGUCCCAAACUAUGAGCGCUGCUCUCGACCUGUACACCAGACACAGGUAAAGGGACUUCUCACUCCCCCCACUUCCAAACUAUGAGCGCUGCUCUCGAUCUGUAUGUACACCAGACACAGGUAAAGGGACUUCUCACUCCCCCCACCUCCAAACUAUGAGCGCUGCUCUCGACCUGUACACCAGACACAGGUAAAGGGACUUCUCACUCCCCCCACCUCCAAACUAUGAGCGCUGCUCUCGACCUGUACACCAGACACAGGUAAAGGGACUUCUCACUCCCCCCACUUCCAAACUAUGAGCGCUGCUCUCGAUCUGUACACCAGACACAGGUAAAGGGACUUCUCACUCCCCCCACCUCCACUGUCUGCCCUGCCACUGGGCCCAAUUCUGGAAGGGGUGAACAGCUCGGAAGAAGGCCGGGCUCGGCAGCCACGGUGCUCUCUCUGGGCCUCUGUUCUCACUGCAAAGUGGACUAACAGGCCUCCAUGGACCAGCUCACAGUAUUUGCUGUAAGGGUCACAUGAAGCGAUUGAUGUGAAAAGUAUUUAUUGUCUUGGAAAUUCCUGAAUUCACCACCAUAUUCCUCACUGCCAUCCUCAUCCAUGAAAGCGAGGGGGCUGAGGGAGGUUUUGAGACUUCCCAUGAAGCCCCUUCUUUCUGGGAUUUCAACACACCCAACUCCGUGGAGCGCGUGGCCGCCUUCUCAGCGGAGCAAUGCUGUCACCUAGUGGCCACUCCGCACCCUUCUCCUUGGAAUCAGGAGCUGACCCGGAGCACCUGCCCUUGGGAGCUGUCCCCAGGUACCCCUCCACACCUGCAAAGCUACCGGUGGUCAGGGCUUCCGUGUCUGGUCAUGAGAGAGCAAAUAUUGCAGUGGAGAAGAGGGGCUGAGGAGGCAGGGUCCCUGCUCUUAUGAAGGGCAGCUUGUCCUUGGGCCCCCUAGCUCCUCCUGCCAUUGGACUUGGCUUGGCAGAUAUUCCAUCAGAGCAGGCGAGGGCAGGAGGCCUGGGUUUCCAGACCCUCAUCUGCAGGGUGCCUGUCAGUGUUGAAGUCAAGAAGCUCCUUCGUGUGAGCCUCACCCUGUUUCUACCUCGUGUCUUCCUGUAGUUUAUUCUCUACCUGGCUUCUAGAGUGAUCCCUUUAAAAGCAAGUCAGAUGAUGUCAUGCCGCUGCUCAAACCCUGCAGUUAUUCCCACUCAGAGUAAAACCAAAGACAGCAAGACAGGAUCGGGGCCUGUGGGUAACCUUCCCUGCCCUUGUUUAUCUUUUUAGUUUUUGUUUUCAAUAUUUAUUUAUUCACUUAUUUAUUUUUUAUUUUUUGAGAUGGAGUCUUGCUCUGUUGCUCAGGCUGGAGCGCAGUGGUGCACUCAGCUCACUGCAAUCUCUGCCUCCCGGGUUCAAGCGAUUCUCUUGCCUCAGCUUCUCAAGAAGCUGGGAUUACAGGCAUAUGUCACCAGGCCCAGAUAAUUUUUGUAGUUUUAGUAGAGACAGGGUUUUGCCAUGUUGGCUAGACUGGUGCUGGUCUCAAGCUCCUGACCUCAGGUGAUCCACCCAUCUCGGCCUCCCAAAGUGCUGGGAUUAUAGGCAUGAGCCACUGCACCUGGCCUUGUUUUGUUUUUGAGACAGGGUCUCACUCUAUCACCGAGGCUGGAGUGCAGUGGUGCAAUCAUGGCUCACUGCAGCCUUGACCUGACGGGCUCAAGCAAUCCUCCUACCUCAGCCUCCUGAGUAGCUGGGACUACAGGUGUGCCCCUCCAUGCCCAGCUAAUUGGCAUUUAUUUUUUUGUUCUUUUUUUCUUUUUCUUUCUUUCUUUUCUUUUUUUUUUUUUCUUUUUUUUUUUGAGACAGAGUCUCGCCCUAUCACCCAGGCUGGAGUGCAAUGGCGCGAUCUCAGCUCAUUGCAACCUCCGCCUCCAGGUUCAAGUGAUUCUCCUGUCUCAGCCUCCUGAGUAGUUGGGAUUACAGGCACGUGCCAUCAUGCCCGGCUAAUUUUUUGUAUCUUCAGUAGAGGCAGGGUUUCACCAUGUUGUGCAGGCUGGUCUGGAACUCUGGGACUCAAGCAAUCCUCCCACCUCGGCCUCCCAAAGUGCUGGGAUUACAGGCUUGAGCCACUGUGCCCAGCUCUGUUUAUCUUUCAGACUGCACCUGCCCCUCAUCAGCUCCUCUCCAGCCUCCUUGUCAUGCCUUAAACUCUCACUGCUGCUCCCUCUGCUUGGAAUGACCUUCCCCUGGGUAGCUGCACAGGUGGGCCCUCGUGUCAUUUAUCACUCUGCUUAAAUAGCCCUUACUCAGAAAAGUCUGCCUUAACUAAAUUAGCAGCCUCCAUCACUUUUCUUCCCCUUUGCCUACUUUGCUUUCUUCACAGGACUCACAAUAUAUGGUUGUUUCUUGGUAUCUGCGGUGAUACUAAAAUCUGCGGAUGCUCAAGUCCCUUCUAUAAAAUGCUGUAGUAUUUGUGUAUAAACUUCACAUAUCCUCUCAUAUACUUUAUUUUUAUUUUUAAUUUUUUUUGGGACAGGGUCUCACUCCAUCACCCAGGCUGGAGUGCAGUGGCGUGAUCUCGGUUCACCGCAACCUCUGCCUCCCGGGUUCAAGCAGUUCUGAUGCCUCAGCCUCCUGAAUAGCUGGGAUCACAGGCAUGAGCCACCAUGGCUGGCUAAUUUCUAUAUAUAUUUUUAAAAGUAGAGACAGGGAGGUUAAGAGGAGGGUUUAGAUAAUAAAAUGUGUGGUAUAGAGUUCUGGAAAAUGCAUAGUGUAUAGUGCUCCUAGAAAGAUUUGUAGUAGUUAGGGCAUUUAUUAUAAUAAUGUUCAUGUACUCUGCUACAAAAAAGAGAGCGUAUGGGCCUGCAGCAUAUUCAAUAUUAAACUCUGAGACUAAUUCUCAUUCUCCUUCUGUCAG